rnacentral:lncRNA from 1 species
CGGUAUAAACAACAUACGACAAACCGGUGCCCUCCCGGAUCAUCGUAGCCUUCACUUCCAUUGUUCCUUCGCACGAACGUCCCGCAUGACCUUGAUCCUCGACCUCAGCUUCUCCCAAGCUUUGUCUCUCGAUCCCGUCAUCGACCACGUUCUUCUAGCUCCGGCAACACCUGAAAGCGAACACACAAAUAACCAGUACGAGCACAAGUCCACGACUUGACUCAGGGUAAGUUUCACACAACUCACGCCAUGUUUUCACAUAAGAAACUAAUGGAUCAGCACACCACUAGCAAAGCACUAAGUCCAAACAAGAUACAUGUCAUCACUUAAAUAUCCAUAUUAUCCAAAGUAUCCACAUCAAUGUUUCAUCUAAAACACUUGCCAAUGUUACACAUCACAUAUGAUUUCACAAUCUCCCCCUUGAUGAAAACAUUGGCAACCUCUCGUUAACAACACUAGACAUUGAACAUUGAUUGGCAUACACAUUCACUUAACUCUCAGAUUUUCAAGGUUUUGAAAAGAAAAUGAAAAACAUCAAAAAGUUGGAGAAACACCAAUAAAAGAACACCAAUAAAAGGUAAAAUAUGGUAUGUAUAUGUGUUGAAAUCUCUCCCCCUUUGACAAUGAAUUUCAUCAAAACCACACAAAAAUAUUUCCCCCGCUUCAAUUUUUUUUUAAAACUGAAAGCGAUUUUUUUUCUUGUAAUGAGCAUUGUGAAGCAUCAUGAACAUGAUAAUUGUGCAUCCAAGUCAUGUAAAAAGUAGUUGUACUCGACAUGUAUAUAAGUAUGAUGUAAUCUACACAUGACUAACAAUCAAGUAUUGUUACGAUUUAUUGCAAGACAUGGUCUCCCCUUGUCAACUACAUCAAUACUUGAAUACAAAAUAGCUUGCAACACAUUACAUUAAACAUAGCACUUUAUAAAAGCAUAAUAUUUAUUUUCAUUGAAUUUAUAUACCAAGUCAAUUCAACCUUGUCAAGCCUAUAUUUAAAACACCAUGCCAAGCCUAUGUCCAAAGUGCAAUGAUUAACAAUCAGAAGCUUAAGGCAAAUGGUAAGCAAUCAGAAGCUUAAGACACAGGUUUCAAUAACCACAUCAACUUCCAAGUUCAUACCAAAGUGCAAUGGUAAGCAGUCUCGUGAAGAUGUAAUGCGACAUUGACAUAUUUAUUUAGUAAAAAUUGCUUGACACCACGUGUCUUUGUAUAUUUGGAACCUUGAUACCAUUAUAUUUUCAUCAUUGCUAGUAAUUAAGUAUCCAAGACCAAAAUAGCUAACAAAGUUUAACCAUGACAAGAUUUAGUUCAAGUUAUCAUUCGUAUUAGAAAUCAUGUGAUAGACUAUUUCAUACGAGGAUACAUAUAAAAUGACAAUGUCCUCAAAACAUAAACGUGGUUGCAAAAAUGUCAUUUCAGGAUGGAAUACAAUGCUCAUUACUUUUUCAGAUUUUUUAUUUAUUAAAGAUAAAAGAACGAAAAAGAAGCAAGUAUCGUACACGAAGAACAAACUCCCCCUCAAACCAUCCCGUAUGGUUUGAUUACUCCAAGUUCACCUCGAAGAAAAGCAAACCGAGAAGAAUCCAAUGGUUUAGUAAAAAUGUCUGCCAAUUGACGUUCGGUAUCUAUAAAGUUGAGCACAACAUUUUCUUUUUCAACAUGAUCUCUAAGAAAAUGAUAUCUUAUAUCUAUGUGCUUAGUUCUAGAAUGUUGCACUGGGUUUUUAGCAAUACAUAUAGCACUAGUGUUAGCACUGGGGCAAAAGUUUCAUCAAAAUCAAGACCCUCAAUUUGAGUAAAACCUUGAGCAACCAAUCUAGCCUUGUUGCGAACAAUAACACCAUCCUCACUUUGUUUGUUUUUAAAAACCCAACGUGUACCAAUAAGGGUAUGACCUGGAGGUGGUGAAACAAGAGUCCAAACUUGGUUACGCUCAAAAUUUUCUAAUUCCUCAUGCAUGGCAUUGAUCCACGAUUCAUCAGUAAAUGCAUGAGAUAUAUCCUUGGGCUCAAAAGAAGCAACAAAUGCAGAAUGAUUGUGAGAGUUAGAAUCGAUAAACCUUGACCGUGUGACUCUCUCAGUCAUGCUUCCAAUAAUCUGUUCAGGAGGGUGCCUCUUUUGAAUGUGUCGGGGUGCUGAAAUAUUUGACUCAGCAGCUUGCUCAACCCCAGCUUGAGUAGUCGAGGUAGUCUUCUGAGGGUGAUCAAUUGUAGCAGCAGUAGUAGUAGGUGUAGGAACAGCUACAGAUGGUGCAUGGACAGCAGGGGGCACGCCAUCCUCCUCAUCAUCUUCAUCAUCUAAAAAUAUUCCCUCCCCCUGAGCAUGUGUUCCUGCAUUAGAAACAAGAGGACUAGAGCCAGAACUAGCCUCAUCAAAAGUCACUUCACUGGUUUCCAUUAGUCGGUUAGUCUCGUAAACAUAAACACGGUAACCACGUGAAUGAGCAGGAUAUCCAAGAAACAUGCCAUCAUAUGAUCUAGACUCAAACUUAUCUAAAUUGCCAGAUUUAAGAACAAAGCAUUUGCAUCCAAAAACUCUUAGGUGAGAUAUAACAGGUUUACGUCCAAAUCGUAGUUCAUAUGGCGUUUUACCAAUUUUGGAUCUCAAGAACACACGAUUUGAAACAUAACAAGCAGUAGAUAUAGCUUCAGCCCAAAACUUUCUAGGAGUAGAAAAUUCAUCAAGCAUAGUACGAGCCAUCUCAACUAGAGUUCGAUUCUUACGCUCCACUACACCAUUUUGUUGCGGUACAUAAGGUGCAGAAAAUUGAUGUUCAAUGACAAGUUCAUCGCAAAACUGAUUAAAAUAUGAAUUCUUAAAUUCAGUUCCAUUAUCACUCCUGAUAGUUUUCAAAGAUCCUGGGUGCUCAACACUUAAUCUAUUCACAAGACUCUUAAAAUGACUAAAAGCCUCAUCCUUAGAUGCCAUAAAAUAAACCCAAGAAUAUCUUGAAUAAUCAUCAACAAUCACCAGAACAUACCACUUACCACCAAAAGAUUGUACUCUUGAUGGACCAACUGUAUCAAGGUGUAGAAGCUGUCCUGGGGCAUCAGUCAUGACACCAGUAAUGCGUGCAUGAGAACCUGCAACCAUCUUACCAUGUCUACAAGGAGAGCAUACAACAUGUUUUUCUCCCUUAAGUUUAGGCAAACCAUUUAAGACAUUCAUACCACUAAUGCGAGUAAGAUGAUCAAAACCAAUAUGCCCAAGUCUACGAUGCCAAAAUAAUAAAUCUGUAGAUGUGUUGGCAACUAGACACCUAAAUUUUGCAUUUGAAGCAGCAUGAAAAUCAGCCUUAAAAACUUUCCCAAAGCGUGAUAUAUCAAAAACAAGAUCACCCGAAGCAUCUAAAACUUUGCAAGCACUCUUCUUGAAAGAUACUUCAAGAUCCUCAUCAAUCAUUUGUGAAACCGACAAUAAGUUGUAUUUUAGAUUUUCAACCAAAGCAACAUCUUUGAACACAAAAUUGUCGGUUACCUUUACUGUACCUUUCCCAACAACACUAGAGGUAGAAGCAUCUCCAUAGGUUACACUUUCAGCCCGAGAUGCACGUUUCAGGAAGGAGAACCAAUUUUUAUCACCGGUCAUGUGACGAGAACAACCGGAGUCCACUAGCCAUAUGUUCUCCUUCCUCACGCCAAGUGCCUACAAACAAACACAUGCCGAGAUCUCAGUACUGGGGUUAGAUAAAAAGCUUUUAGGUAUCCAGUACUGAGAUACACGACGAGUAGGCAGAGCACGAGUUUCUUUAUACAUUGGGACAGAUUGUAUGUAUCUCGUGCAAGUUGAAACGGAAGGUGAAACAUUCACCCUAGGCACAUAACGGGGAGUAGUAGUUUUAUCAUGAGCAUAAUGUGCCUUGAAGGAAUUAGAUCUAGCUUGUUUUCUUUCCUUUUUAAUUACUCUAGCUAGUCUAAAACAAGAACCUACACCAUGUCCAGGUUUAUUACAAUAAGUGCAAGUGUACCUACUUCCAGGUUUAGCAUGUGAUAUAUGACCUACAUUUGCAAUUGUUGAAGUAUCAUUAGACAUGAUGCCGGCAGAUUUAAAAAUCACAUUGGUUGGCUUGUUAGAUGUUUCAAAAAUUCCAUUACCAAGUGACUUAACAAUAGUGGGUGGAUUAGCCUUAAAAUGAGCAUGUGUAUUAAAACCGAGGCCGGUCUUGUUUUUACUCACUUUAGACUUAUCUAAAAUCAUAUUCAGAUUUUUGUGCCUACUAGAAAAUUUCUGCAAAGAUGCGUGUAAAUAAUUAACUUGAUGAGACAAGGCAAUACAAUUAUCACAAACACCAUGAAUGAUUUGUUUUCCACUUUUACAAUUAGCGCACAAAGAAACCUCUUGGAUAUGUAAAGCAUUUUCAACAUGGGAAACCCUAGCAUUUGCAUCUUUCAACUUCAAUUCAAGAGUAUGACAAUUAUUACAAGAAGUUGAAUCUGUCAAAUCAGAAGUAUCCAUGCUAGCAUCAUUAAUAUGUUUACGUUUAUACACAAUAGGUUUCUCAUUGUUUUCUAAUGCAACUCUAAGCUUAUCAAGAGUAUCAUCAUGAAUAGAACGCAAAAAGGUAAACUCAGAAUAUAUAGAAUCACAAGACUUGCAGGAAUCAUCAUCAGGAAUCAUAGACUUAAGUGUAGUAAUUUCAGAAUUCAAGGAUGCAAUUUUCAAGUCAUAUUUCUUAAUUCUUUUAGUAGCAUGAUCAAGCAAAGAACUCAAUUUACUAGCACUUUUAAGUAAUUCAUCAUAAGAGAGUUCUACCUCAUUGUUGUUGUCACUGUCGUAGUCGUCACGGGAGGUAGCACUCUUAUUGCUAGCCAUAAGACACAUCCCAUUAAUGUCGCGCUUUCCUUUGGAUGCAUCAUCUUCAUCAGACUCGAUAUCCACAUCACUCAAGCAUGGUUCACCAUAUUCAUUGAUUACAGAGAAAAUACUGUGAGCCACCGCUCGAGCAAAGUCGCCCCUCUUUUUAUUCUUGAUGUUGAAGGGGCGCUUCUUCUUCUUGUCCUCCCCAUUUUCUUCUUUCGCCAUCUUGGAUAAGAAUUUAGGACAAUUUUGGCGAAAGUGAUUUGGAUCACCACAUUUAAAGCACCUUGGAGCAUUGUUCCCACCUCUCUUCCUUGAACGAACAUUUUGCAGGGCACGUGUAAAACGAGAGGUGAGGAGUGCCAAUUCUUCCUCUGGGUAUUGCUCUAGCUGUUCAUCAGUUAGUUGAGACAAAGAAGACAGAGAAUAACAAUAUGUAGAAGUACCAUCAUUAGAUCUGCCAGGGUUAGUAACAAGUGCAAUUGAUUUGGAACCGGUUCUCCUAGCAAGAAUAUCUAAUUCAUGAGUUUUCAAUUUUGAGUACAGAAUAUCAAGUGUAAGUGUGCUCAUGACAGUAGAUUCUCUAAUAGAUGUAACUUUCAUCUCCCAUCUGGACAUAUCUAAUGCACUCAAAAGUUGCCUAGAAGCCUCAGCAUCAGUAUAAGUAACACCUAAUGCACGUAAGUUGCUGAGAAUUUUAUUAAAGCGUGCAAAGAAUUCAUCCAAAGAUUCACCUGUAUUCAUCUCAAAUCUCAUGUACUCCUUUUUGUACAUGUCUUGACGCACCUCCUUAACAGAGUUUGAUCCUUCAUGAUAACUACAAAGUGCGUUCCAUACCUCAUGAGCGGAUGCAAGGUGAGCGACACGGUCGAAGUCACUUCGUUGUAGACCUUGGAUGAUGUAGUUCCUCGCCUUGUAGUUGUUCUCCACGUGGACCAAGUUUGUUGGUGUGAUCGCAUUGUCCGCGGGAAGCUCAUAGGACUUGGCGAUCUUCUCCCAUAUGGCGUAACUUUGUGCCAUGAUGUAUGCCUUCAUCUUCGCCUUCCAAAACUGAAAAUCAACACCAUCGAACACACAGGGUUUGGUAGAAUACCUAUCCAUAUCUAGCAAGUCUAAUCAAACGGUUAAGAUAGAUCAGAGAGACCUUGCUCUGAUACCAAUUGUGAGAUCGAGAUAGGCAAUCAGAGGGGGGGUGAAUGAUUGCGCGGAAGCAAUUUAAAACUUCUCCCGAAAGUUCAAACCCUAAAUCACCUUUCUGUCCGUGAUAGUAAAACAGCCGUAACUUUUGAUUGGAUGAACCAAAAAAUACGUAUGAGUAUGGAAAAGAAAGGUAUUAAAAUUAUCUAACCAACGCAACAAGAAUCAGCUCAAUAGAACUUACCAAUCAAAAGAUAUGAUCAAAAUAGUAACAGCUGACAGAAAGUUACGAGGAUUAAUCUAAAACCAAUUUCGAGGAAUAACAAGAAAGAUGAAUUAAUCGCAAUCUUCUCUUGAUCUCGUGAUAAACCUGCAGAAAAGUAUUAUGAACUUGUGAUGAAUCUGCACCAAAGUAUUAGAAAGAUCUAGCACGAAGAUUUCACGAAGAUCCGAGAAGAACAGAGAUGACAUCGCCAACGAAUUUCUUUAUUGCAACGAUGUUGAUCGAUUACAAAAGAUGCAACCAUGCAUCCAAGAACUCUCCAAGAAUUGAUCUAGAUCCAAAGCUUUGAGUUCCCUCAUGUCCUUGCUAAAACCCUAACUAGGAUGCCCUCUAUUUAUAAGGGAAAAUUCGCAACCCUAAACCGAAUCCGAAUCCAACACGGACUCCUCUGUCCCGGUCAGUAUUUUGCCCGUGGGGCCCGCAUACGACCUCGGAUUGAGAUGACUCUAAAAGAAAAGUUGUUCGCCUCGACGACGCGCACAACUUUCAUGUGGAUCACUUUUCCAUCCGACUCCAUCUUGAUGAUGCUACUGUUUAAUCUUUAAAUAGCUCUCAUCCAGCCACGGCUGGACCUACAUAUCUUCACCUCGAUGUCACUUCAUGCCAUCAACUCUUCUUGUGAUGUCUUCAAAACUCGACCAUCACGUAUCGAAUAUCUCCAAUAUCGUACAUCUCCGGUAUAAACAACAUACGACAAACCGGUGCCCUCCCGGAUCAUCGUAGCCUUCACUUCCAUUGUUCCUUCGCACGAACGUCCCGCAUGACCUUGAUCCUCGACCUCAGCUUCUCCCAAGCUUCGUCUCUCGAUCCCGUCAUCGACCACAUUCUUCUAGCUCCGGCAACACCUGAAAGCGAACACACAAAUAACCAGUACGAGCACAAGUCCACGACUUGACUCAGGGUAAGUUUCACACAACUCACGCCAU